AGCUUUAAAUUUUAAAUUAUUACAGUUAUAUCAUAAAAAAAAUAAAAAUAAAAAGACUCUCUUCUUCCCCCACCAAACCACUUCUUUUAGCAACCCCCAAUCGUUGCCCAACCUCUUCUUUUUUUUCCCACUCCAUAGUUAUCUUCUUUAACCCGAUUUUGGAAUUGGCACUUUGGUAACAUCAAGUUUCUUGGCGAUUAUCAGUGGCGUGAGAGGGAGAGACACGCUGGUCCGUUUUUUGCUAUAUUGGGAGCGAUGUUGGCCUGUUUUUCGACAGAAUGGGAGGCGGCGACCAAUGAAGGGGUUUGGGGUACGCCGAGAAAAUGGAGAUGGGAAAUUCCAGGUCGCAGUCUUCAAUCUUUCACAACAAUCGUCUUCUAAUCCCUUAAACUUGUCUUUUUCAACCAAUUUUGAUAACCCAAGAAAAUCUCAGGCGAAUGUAGGGUAGAUUUCGAUGAGUUUCACAGCAGAGGUUGGUGUGAAAUUGUCUUUGUAAGUAAUUUGGGGUGAGAAAAUAGUAGUCGGCGUUGGAUUACGAAAAAUUUGGUCAGAUCUGAUUGUUAGGUGACUUAGGUUGUUAUAACUAUGGAGGUUGGAGGAGGAAAAUAAAUAGUGAUGGUGUGCAGCUAGCUAGAGGAUGGUCGCACUCUUGCUGACUACAACAUUGAGCAAGAGUCGACAUUACAUUUGAGGCUUCAUGGAGGAAUUAUUGAGCUUCUUUGGUGGUUUUUGCUAGGAAGUACAAUCAGGAGAUUUGUUGCAAGUGCUAUGAAGUGUGAGCACAACAAUCAGUUGAGACCUAAGAAGAAGAUAAGCAGAUGGUGAAUUUGAAUUUGUGAACAUGUAGUUGCAAAUGUUGAGAUCCUUGAGAAACAAUUAGAUAUAUUAUUGGGUUGCUUGUUCAAUUUUAUUCUAAAAACAUUAAUCAAUUUGUGUUUUAUUUAUAUCAAAGAUUUUGAGCUAUUUUGAUUGGUAGAAAAAAAAAGGAAGAAAGUAUAUACGAUUUCGUCGGCAAAAAUGGCGCUGCCGCCGGCGAUGGCUUUCUAUUGGUCCUGAAACAGUGAAAAUAGUGUUGGGGUGGGAGGGUAGAAAUUUCUUUAGGGUUGCAAUUUAGAGAUUUUGAGAUUCUUUUAAUGCUCUUUAUUUUUUUUCUGGCUAAAAGCUCACCGGAGCUUUGACCUCCGACCGCCGGUCCACCACCCAAAAAACCUUACCCAAGCUCCAUAUUCCAUUUUGGCUCCAUAGCCACCGGAGAAACCAUCAGUUCUAAACAAUCCUAAGAAACCCAUCUACCUUGCUUUUCCUCCAUUUUCAAGGAACAUCUCCCUUACUUCAUUUUCCGGCGAGCUCAAACACCAAAACGAGCUCGCCACGAUCUCUGCCUCUGUUCCUCCUCCAGACCACCAACAACAACCGCCCUUAAACCCCUACGAAACAGCCCCUAAACCAGCUGAAACCAGCAAGCCAAACGGCCCCCACGCAACCUAUUUUCCCCUUUUUCAGAUUCGCCGACGAGCUCGAAGUUCUCUACCACCAGGCCCACCAGAUCUCCACCACACGCCUUCUCCACACCAGAAACCCCACGAGUACACCACCUCGAAAACCCCUCCCCCCCUCCCUUUUCUGUUUUCCCGGCAACCAAACAGCCAUCAAACUCCUGUGAAAACCCCACCUCUUUCUCGAUUUUCCUCACCACUAAACAACCACGAAAGAUCACCCAUUCUUUCCCCACCAACGAGCUAACAACAGCCCCAUUCCGGCAAAACAACAAGCUGCGGCGAAGCUACUAGACCAUAUCUCGUACAAACGAGCUCGGAGCUUUUGUCCCAACAACAUUGUCAUCUUCAAAUCUGCUUGUGAAAGUAACGACAUGGGAAAAUACUACACAAGAUGAGCCCAUUGAUAUUGUAAAUAUCGAUGAUCACGACCUUCCUAAUUUACGGCUCACCUUCAGCUAGUGAUAGUGAUGAUUUGCCUAAUGCUGAGGAAUCAGGAGAUAAUGUUCCAUUUGAGGCAUCACAGUGAUGAUUUUUUGACUCCCAAUUGAUCACCAAGACCAAUGUCCAUGAGUCUGUUUCGUAAUCGUGAAAUUUCUAUCUUGAUCAUAUCUCGGAUGGUCCAGAUAUCUUUGGUGAUACACAUGAUAAAUAUACAUCACAACGUACGUUCCAUGAACCAGAAGAUUUCAUGAAUGAUGCUAUUUAUAUUGAAAAAGUUACUCAAUUCAAAGAAGUAGUUGCAAAGAGCAGUUAAACUUCUACAUUUGAACAUAACAAGGGAGUGCUUUGUUAUUAAAUCAACAAAGAAAUCGUGGCGACUUGUUCGCAGGCGUGUAAAACAAGGAUGUCGAUUUAGGUUGACUUCUUUUAUUGAUAAACAUACUAACAUGUGGAAAGUUGGAAGACACGUUAAAGAACAUACAUGUGAUAUGGGUACGUGCUGCGAAAGGCAUUUCAACUUGGAUGUUGAGAUGAUUGCUGACGUCCUCCGUGUUGAUAUAGAAAGAACGCCAAGGUUUCCCAUCAAAGAUUGUCAAACAGUUGUUCUUAAAGCAUAUGACAUUGCAGUAAGUAAAAGAAAAGUCUAUCUUGAUCGUAAGCAGGCUUUUGAAAAAGUCUAUGAUAUUGGGUGUUUUCUUUUGCCGAGUUGCCGAGGUUCAUGGAAGCUUUGAAACACUUUAAUCCUGGAACAGUAGUCAAUUGCAUGUUGAUAGUCAAGACACAUAUUGGUGCAGAAAUAGUCAAACAAUAACAUCCACCAUGUGGGAAAAUUAUAAAAAAUUUGUUGAUAUUUUUUCAAAAAAAAAUAAUCAGAAAAUGUUUCAACUUAAAGCUAGACAAAAAGAUGAAUUUUUGUGUACUUUAUGACAUAGAUACUUUUAUUUUGUCUUAUAUUUUACGAUAUUCUGCCUCUUAAUUUA